CAAGGACUCAGCCUACAUGGGGCGCACACUCUAUACACCUACUGGACGGAUGAGGUCAUUUAUGCGGCAACGCUGGAUUUCAGAUCACUGGACAUAAUAUGGGGAAACAACUAGCUACUUCAUCAUGGAUCCAGAGCUCAUUUCAUUUGAUAAAAACAGCAGGUUUAUAACAUAAAACAAAACUAUGAAUAAAAGGUUAAUAAGUAUUAA